rnacentral:rRNA from 1 species
CAGUCGCCGCGGGAAUACGAAGGGGGCUAGCGUUGUUCGGAUUUACUGGGCGUAAAGGGCGAGUAGGCGGUUUGGCAAGUUUCGUGUGAAAUCUUCGGGCUCAACUCGAAGUCUGCACGGAAGACUGCCGGGCUUGAGUAUGGGAGAGGUGAGUGGAAUUUCCGGUGUAGCGGUGAAAUGCGUAGAUAUCGGAAGGAACACCUGUGGCGAAAGCGGCUCACUGGACCAUUACUGACGCUGAGGCGCGAAAGCUAGGGGAGCAAACAGGAUUAGAUACCCCUGUAGUCCCUGUCUCUUAUAC